rnacentral:misc_RNA from 1 species
GAUGAAGAACGCAGCGAAAUGCGAUAAGUAAUGUGAAUUGCAGAAUUCAGUGAAUCAUCGAAUCUUUGAACGCACAUUGCACCCGCCAGUAUUCUGGCGGGCAUGCCUGUUCGAGCGUCAUUUCAACCAUCAAGCCCCAGGCUUGUGUUGGGGACCUGCGGCUGCCGCAGGCCCUGAAAACCAGUGGCGGGCUCGCUGUCACACCGGGCGUAGUAGAUUUUAUCUCGCUCAGGGCGUGCUGCGGGUUCCGGCCGUUAAAAAGCCUUUUUUACCCAAGGUUGACCUCGGAUCAGGUAGGAAGACCCGCUGAACUUAAGCAUAUCAAUAAGCGGAGGA